rnacentral:rRNA from 1 species
UCCCUAGCUGGUCUGAGAGGAUGACCAGCCACACUGGAACUGAGACACGGUCCAGACUCCUACGGGAGGCAGCAGUGGGGAAUAUUGCACAAUGGGCGCAAGCCUGAUGCAGCCAUGCCGCGUGUGUGAAGAAGGCCUUCGGGUUGUAAAGCACUUUCAGCGAGGAGGAAGGUGGUGAGCUUAAUACGUUCAUCAAUUGACGUUACUCGCAGAAGAAGCACCGGCUAACUCCGUGCCAGCAGCCGCGGUAAUACGGAGGGUGCAAGCGUUAAUCGGAAUUACUGGGCGUAAAGCGCACGCAGGCGGUUUGUUAAGUCAGAUGUGAAAUCCCCGGGCUCAACCUGGGAACUGCAUUUG